AAAAAGAAGGUCGUUUAAUCCGACCUGCUUUGA
rnacentral:tRNA from 1 species